UAAUGUAAUACCCAUGUGGGAAAUGCUUAUCACCACAGUGGCAUGAGGACUUUAAAAGAUAAUCCCAAACAUGAUUUGGGAACCCCUUAGGCUUUAGGUGUUUCUGAAAACAAAUAAACAAAAACAAACAAAAGAACCCCUCCUAUUGUCUCCUGAAUAAGAAGUUGAGAUUUUCCCAGAAGAUUGUUUUGUAAUCCACCUGCUUAAAUACAGAUGAGGCAAGAGUAAGUUUACAGUUGUUCUUGUGGAAAAUAAUACAAUACUUAAUAAAGAAUACCACGAGAAUAAACUCUGUUCCAUGUACUCUUGAGUGUAAACUGAUUUUUGCCCCACUCUGUACUCUUAUUCCCUGGAGUUGCUUCCCAUAUUCCCACUGUUUUGAGAACAGGGUCCUAGGGAAAUAUUAUACAAGGAUGGAAGGAAGGCUGAGGAAACGUAGGUACACAGAUUUGAGGAUAAAGAAUACAUUUAGUGUAUUUAUUUGCUUUUUCUUUUAAAAUGAAGUUUUGAAUUACUAUUUUUACAGAUGUCUAAACCUGAUUGCUCUCCUUUGCGAAUUGCUUUUAAAGGUAUGAGCCGGUGUUGUAGGAAUCACAGGUUCUCAGCAGAGGAGCUGUGUAAUCUUUGGCAAUUUUCUUGAUCCUACUUAGCUCUAGGAGGAAAAUGGAUCUAUUAAUCAUGGCUUCUCUUACUGCCUCAGGGUAUUAAUCAAAGGAGACUGUGUGAGAGCACUUUGCAAACAACACUAAAAUGGGGCUGCUAUUUCCCGGUCACACUUGGAUGUCUGCUUGUCAGCUUUAUGUCUCAGAAAGUAUUCCCCGCCAUUCAGAUCCUGAUAUUGAUUAAGGUAUGAAGGAAGACAUGAUUGUUGUCUAUAGAAGCUUUAAUAUAAAUUUCAUCUGUCAACUCUAAAACAUAUUGAAGGACAAUGAAAGACAAAACAGCAAAGCUUUUUUGGGGAGAGAUCUGAGGAGAUCCUGAACACUGCCAACUUAAUAAGAUACCUUAAGAGAACGUGUCGGGGGAAAGUCCUCCCCUGUCAAAAGAAGCUUCAAAAGAGGAAUAUAUGAGAGAGGUUUACAGAUGACGAUAUAAGUAAGAAAGUACUGAUUCUCACUGAGUGUGACUCUUUACAGGGUUGGCAGUUUUGAACCAUGCCUGGGCUUGUGAGCGGUAAAAGAAAAAGCAGAGGGAUCCAGCAAUAAUUUCUUUAGUCUAUUUUUGAGGAAUAAUAGUCCUGCAAGGAGAAACUAUGCUUCAAAGCUCAUUAGCAGGAUAAAAUGUAAUUCUCAUCUUGAUAAGAGUAAGCAGCCAGUUUAAAACUCACUUGAAGGAGCAGAAUGAGGAAAGCUGGUGCCUCUAUGAAGCAUGUCAGAGUAAUUGUGUAUCCUAAAUUAAGGUAAGUAGUGACAAAACUUGUUUAAACAUCCCAGCAUCUAUCUAACUUGAUUCAGUUUGUGCAGUACAACUCAAUGGGAUGCAGAACCAUACAGUAAUAUUCAACAAUGCUCGAGGCCACCUUUCUUUAAAUCUGGAUUCUAAUAUUUCUUUUGGAAACAGAUAUCUAAUGAAUUCUUAUUUGUUAACUCAGUUGUAUUUUCACAACAACAAAAAUCUUCUAGAUGAGACGUGCAAUAGUUGGGAAGCUCCAGAAGCUAUAAAGAGGUGUUAGUCAUGCUGCCCUAGAUAGCACUACUGCCACCUAGUGGUACGUAAAUGAAUUUGUAGACAUGGUUCAGGUAUCCAAUACAUAGAGCAGUUAUCUAAUUAAUUUAAUAUAAUUUCAGCAGCAGCAACCAUCCUUCCAGAUAUCAUAAAAUAUAAAAGAAAAUUUUUACUAGUGACUGAAAGUAGCAAAUUUUACCUUCUUAUUUAUUUCAAGGAAGGACACUCCCUCCCUUCACAACCUUCCAUUCUUCUUAAGUCUAUACACACUCCUUUGCCCUUAUAAUGGCAUGUAGAGAGUUUAUUUUAGAAAAGAGAUGGAAAGUAAUGAUAUUCUUCUGGGCUUGUAAAUUUAUUUGGCGAUUACAAAGGUACUUACUACCCAAUGGGCCAUUAGAUAGACAAACAGAUACUUCCUAAAAUAUUUUAUAAUAUAAAAAUGGAUUUUAUGGAUUUACCAUUUACUCAAGUGCAUAACACAAUUUCAACACUUCACAUCCUUGUAAUUAUUGAAUAUUUUUUAGGGUGGCUAGUGAACAUCUUCAUAGCUUCCUCUCCUUCACUGAUUCUUUGUUUUUUUAAUACAUUUGUAAACACAUAUUUGAUAUUUUAUGUUCCUCAUAUUCAGAUUUCAUCUUAUUUUCAUUGUGACCUUAAUGUGUGGAUGCGAGUAAUUACACAGUUUAUUUUAUGUCUCAAAGAGAAAGAAAGUGCUGCAGCCAUGGUCUGUGAGCUACAUACAGGAAGGCAUGCUACUCCAUUACUUGCCCCUUCACCUUCCAGAACAGCAGGUCAAAUAGAAAGACGGUCCUCUUCAGAAACCCAUUCAAGCAUAACGUUCCUGGGAAAUAAGAAAACAAAGGCAUGGCUGGCUAACCCUAGCAUUUUCCUGCAUUUCUAUGAUGAACCUUAAGAAGAAUAUAGUAUUUUACUACCUAUAAAAUGAGUGCUAUCAACUUGAGGGGCUUGAGAAGCAUUACUUAUCAUAUUUACUCCUCCCAAGGGUCUGUUAGAACCUCUGAAUGAGUGAGUGACUACUGGAUUGUGUGUGUCAAGAACCCCCCAACCCCAUCCCAGGGUAUUUCACCUGCACUCAAACCUCCAUAUCUAGCCAAAAUACCGGAGUGUAAAAAAAUCUAGAAGAAAUAUUAACACUUUUAUCAAUUUGGUUUAAAAUUUUAUCCAAAAUUAGAAUGUUUUACAUUUCGUUUUGUUAAGUGAAAAUAUCAUUAAGUAAUUUUAAAACAUGAAUAAAAACAAUCACUAUUUUAUAGUCACUUAUACCUCUCUCUACAUAUUUAUUAAUUAUAUGAUUUUAUGCUUGGAGAUGUCUAGGCUUAUGUUCACUUAUGGUUAGUAAGAAAAACUUCUGGCCUGUUGGGUCUAAAAUCAUUAUUUCCUUGUGUUUUGGCUUGCAUUUCACUGAAAAAUCAUGUAUCACUUAUAAAAUUAAUUUUUUAAAAUAAAAAUAAAAUCUGAUGUUUUAAUGUUAGCUCAGACCAUUCCCUUUUCGUAUGAUUUUUGGUUUGGGGCUUGGUUGGUUAUAGACUUGAAGUGAAGCAUUUAAAUAUGUUGUUAAUUUAGGGGACUGGAAUAAGUGGUGCUAUUUGACAUGCUGAGUGCAUAACACAAAUAUAAUAUUCAAAUGAAAUAUUAUGCCAGAUGUACCCACGCUCCAUACAUAUAGUUUGCAAAUGUUGCUUAUUGUGCGUUAUGCAUAUUAUGAUUUCCUUUGAUACCUAAAACUGUGAACUUUUGUUAGAAUAUGCAUUAUUUUGCUUCCAAACUCUUAACUCCAUGUUGUUAAAAUUGUGUAAAUUAAAAUCUGGUCUUUAAAAGGAGGGCUCUUUGGGCUUCUUCAAAUGGAAUUUGAAAAAGGGUUAAAAGCCACUUAAGCAAAAAUAAAAAUUAUUUGUUGUGUGAACAUAGAAGUGUAAUU